rnacentral:rRNA from 1 species
GUGGCCCGCCUGGGGAGUACGAUCGCAAGGUUAAAACUCAAAGGAAUUGACGGGCCCCGCACAAGCAACGGAGCAUGCGGCUUAAUUCGCCGCAACGCGAAGAACCUUACCAAGGCUUGACAUAUAGGGAAAAGUGGCAGAGAUGUCAUGUCCGCAAGGGCUCUAUACAGGUGGUGCAUGGUUGUCGUCAGCUCGUGUCGUGAGAUGUUGGGUUAAGUCCCGCAACGAGCGCAACCCUCGUUCUGUGUUGCCAGCAUUUAGUUGGGGACUCACAGGAGACUGCCGGGGUUAACUCGGAGGAAGGUGGGGAUGACGUCAAAUCAUCAUGCCCCUUAUGUCUUGGGCUGCACGCAUGCUACAAUGGCCGGUACAGAGGGCUGCAAUACCGUAAGGUGGAGCGAAUCCCAAAAAGCCGGUCUCAGUUCGGAUUGAGGUCUGCAACUCGACCUCAUGAAGUUGGAGUUGCUAGUAAUCGUAGAUCAGCAACGCUACGGUGAAUACGUUCCCGGGGCUUGUACACACCGCCCGUCACGUCACGAAAGUC